UUAAACCCCUCCUUUAU
rnacentral:tRNA from 1 species